UAUGAAGGAUCCAAGCGUUGUUCGGAUUUAUUGGGUUUAAAGGGUGCGUAGGUGGAUUUUUAAGUUAGUGGUGAAAGUUGGUAGCUUAACUAUCGAAUUGCCAUUGAAACUGAAAGUCUCGAGUAUGGUUGAGGUGGCCGGAAUGUAUCAUGUAGCGGUGAAAUGCUUAGAUAUGAUACAGAACACCAAUUGCGAAGGCAGGUUACUAAGCCAUAACUGACGCUGAGGCACGAAAGCGUGGGGAGCAAACAGG
rnacentral:rRNA from 1 species